rfam:Canis lupus familiaris chromosome 10, whole genome shotgun sequence.
AGGAGGAACAGCCCCAGUGGCGGGGCCAGCUCUGGAGCCCGCAGUAACUCCGCAGCUCUCCGUCUGCAGGGCCUGGAGGCUCCGGGGCGGG